ensembl:snoRNA
UAAACCUGAACAAAUGAUUGAUGGUUUAGAAGUCAUGCGUGAUGAAUAAUAUGUGUCUGGAACCUAAAGGUUUGC